GAUGAACGCUGGCGGCGUGCCUAAUACAUGCAAGUCGAGCGAACAGACGAGGAGCUUGCUCCUCUGACGUUAGCGGCGGAAGGGUGAGUAACACGUGGAUAACCUACCUAUAAGACUGGGAUAACUUCGGGAAACCGGAGCUAAUACCGGAUAAUAUAUUGAACCGCAUGGUUCAAUAGUGAAAGACGGUUUUGCUGUCACUUAUAGAUGGAUCCGCGCCGCAUUAGCUAGUUGGUAAGGUAACGGCUUACCAAGGCAACGAUGCGUAGCCGACCUGAGAGGGUGAUCGGCCACACGGGAACUGAGACACGGUCCAGACUCCUACGGGAGGCAGCAGUAGGGAAUCUUCCGCAAUGGGCGAAAGCCUGACGGAGCAACGCCGCGUGAGUGAUGAAGGUCUUCGGAUCGUAAAACUCUGUUAUUAGGGAAGAACAAAUGUGUAAGUAACUAUGCACGUCUUGACGGUACCUAAUCAGAAAGCCACGGCUAACUACGUG
rnacentral:rRNA from 1 species